AUUGAACGCUGGCGGCAGGCCUAACACAUGCAAGUCGAACGAGUGGCGGACGGGUGAGUAAUGUCUGGGAACCUGCCUGAUGGAGGGGGAUAACUACUGGAAACGGUAGCUAAUACCGCAUACCAUCGGAUGUGCCCAGAUGGGAUUAGCUAGUAGGUGGGGUAAAGGCUCACCUGGGCGACGAUCCCUAGCUGGUCUGAGAGGAUGACCGGCAACACUGGAACUGAGACACGGUCCAGACUCCUACGGAAGGCAGCGGUGGGGAAUAUUGCACAAUGGGCGCAAGCCGGAUGCAGCCAGGCCGCGUGUAGGAGGAAGGCCUUCGGGUGUUAAAGUACUUUCAGCGGGGAGGCGUUACCCGCAGAAGAAGCACCGGCUAACUCCGUGCCAGCAGCCGCGGUAAUAC
rnacentral:rRNA from 1 species